rnacentral:misc_RNA from 1 species
CAGAGUUGCAAAACUCCCAAACCCACUGUGAAUUUACCUGUCCUUGUUCCUUCGGCAGGCGGCCCCCGGGGGGGCUUCGCCGUAAGGCGCCUGCCGAGGGACAACCAAAACUCUUGCUAUAUAAGUGUCCUCUGAGCAACUAUAAAAAAGUUA